GAGAGAGAGAGGGAAGGUUUUAUUAGCAUGGUUUUGAAUGACGGUCAUGAAAAAUCGUAGUGGUUCCGAUGUUUAACAACAAAACCUCCUUCAAUUCCACUCAGAAUACCUAAAUC